AACGCAUAUGGCACCUACCAGCCCUGCUGGAAGGUAUGCCUGUUUGAGAAUCACACUAUCACUCUGAUCUGAUUGCAUCCACGUGCAGUCGGUCGACAUGGGCCUUCAGCACUGAUCGCCUCGAAUUGCUCGCGAUCGUCGUGGUAGACAGGGGUGUGGCAGCGAUGCCAUCCAGUGUUGUCGACGAUCAACCCGUGCUCGUGAUCUCAAAUCAGGCAAGGCUACCCGCUGAACUUAA
rnacentral:misc_RNA from 1 species